AUUGAACGCUGGCGGCAUGCCUUACACAUGCAAGUCGAACGGAAACGGGCCUGCGGGUGCCGACGAGUGGAGAACGGGUGAGUAAUACACCGGAAGGUGCCCGAUCGCGGGGGAUAACGAGGCGAAAGCUUUGCUAAGACCGCAUAGGAUCUAAGGUUGCAAGCAGAGGACCGCAAGCCUUUGCGCGGACGGUGCGGCAGAUGGCAGAUUAUGUAGUUGGCGGGAUAAAAGCUUACCAAGCCGACGACCUGUAGCUGGUCUGAGAGGAUGAGCCGCCACACUGGGACUGAGACACCGCCCAGACUCCGACGGGAGGCAGCAGUGGGGAAUUUUGGACAAUGGGCGCAAGCCUGCUCCAGCCAUGCCGCGUGCAGGAUGAAGGCCUUCGGGUUGUAAACUGCUUUUGUACGGAACGAAAAGCCUUCUUUUAAUACAGGAGGGUCAUGACGGUACCGUAAGAAUAAGCACCGGCUAACUACG
rnacentral:rRNA from 1 species